rnacentral:rRNA from 1 species
CCUCGGGGGGCAGCAGUGGGGAAUAUUGGACAAUGGGCGAAAGCCUGAUCCAGCCAUGCCGCGUGUGUGAAGAAGGCCUUCGGGUUGUAAAGCACUUUCAGUGGGGAAGAAAGCCUUGGGGCUAAUACCCUCGAGGAAGGACAUCACCCACAGAAGAAGCACCGGCUAACUCCGUGCCAGCAGCCGCGGUAAUACGGAGGGUGCGAGCGUUAAUCGGAAUUACUGGGCGUAAAGCGCGCGUAGGCGGUCUGAUAAGCCGGGUGUGAAAGCCCCGGGCUCAACCUGGGAACGGCAUCCGGAACUGUCAGGCUAGAGUGCAGGAGAGGAAGGUAGAAUUCUCGGUGUAGCGGUGAAAUGCGUAGAGAUCGGGAGGAAUACCAGUGGCGAAGGCGGCCUUCUGGACUGACACUGACGCUGAGGUGCGAAAGCGUGGGUAGCAAACAGGAUUAGAUACCCCAGUAGUC